rnacentral:rRNA from 1 species
GACGAACGCUGGCGGCGUGCUUAACACAUGCAAGUCGAACGAUGAAGCCGGAGCUUGCUCUGGUGAAUUAGUGGCGAACGGGUGAGUAACACGUGAGUAACCUGUCCUUGACUCUGGGAUAACUGCGGGAAACUGUAGCUAAUACCGGAUACAACCCUCGGAGGCAUCUCCUGGGGGUGGAAAGAAUUUCGGUCAAGGAUGGACUCGCGGCCUAUCAGCUAGUUGGUGAGGUAAAGGCUCACCAAGGCGACGACGGGUAGCCGGCCUGAGAGGGUGACCGGCCACACUGGGACUGAGACACGGCCCAGACUCCUACGGGAGGCAGCAGUGGGGAAUAUUGCACAAUGGGCGCAAGCCUGAUGCAGCAACGCCGCGUGAGGGAUGACGGCCUUCGGGUUGUAAACCUCUUUUAGCAGGGAAGAAGCGAAAGUGACGGUACCUGCAGAAAAAGCACCGGCUAACUACGUGCCAGCAGCCGCAGUAA